GACGAACGCUGGCGGCGUGCUUAACACAUGCAAGUCGAACGGAAAGGCCCUGCUUUUGUGGGGUGCUCGAGUGGCGAACGGGUGAGUAACACGUGAGUAACCUGCCCUUGACUUUGGGAUAACUUCAGGAAACUGGGGCUAAUACCGGAUAGGAGCUCCUGCUGCAUUGUGGGGGUUGGAAAGUUUCGGCGGUUGGGGAUGGACUCGCGGCUUAUCAGCUUGUUGGUGGGGUAGUGGCUUACCAAGGCUUUGACGGGUAGCCGGCCUGAGAGGGUGGCCGGCCACAUUGGGACUGAGAUACGGCCCAGACUCCUACGGGAGGCAGCAGUGGGGAAUAUUGCACAAUGGGCGGAAGCCUGAUGCAGCAACGCCGCGUGCGGGAUGACGGCCUUCGGGUUGUAAACCGCUUUCGCCUGUGACGAAGCGUGAGUGACGGUAAUGGGUAAAGAAGCACCGGCUAACUACGUG
rnacentral:rRNA from 1 species